UUUCAGGGGAAUCUCUCUAAACGAAUGAAUCCCCCUCCUACCUGUAGAGGUGUGUUUCAGGGGAAUCUCUCUAAACGAAUGAAUCCCCCUCCUACCUGUAGAGAGGUGUGUUUCAGGGGAAUCUCUCUAAACGAAUGAAUCCCCCUCCUACCUGUAGAGAGGUGUGUUUCAGGGGAAUCUCUCUAAACGAAUGAAUCCCCCUCCUACCUGUAGAGAGGUGUGUUUCAGGGGAAUCUCUCUAAACGAAUGAAUCCCCCUCCUACCUGUAGAGAGGUGUGUUUCAGGGGAAUCUCUCUAAACGAAUGAAUCCCCCUCCUACCUGUAGAGGUGUGUUUCAGGGGAAUCUCUCUGAACGAAUGAAUCCCCCUCCUACCUGUAGAGAGGUGUGUUUCAGGGGAAUCUCUCUAAACGAAUGAAUCCCCCUCCUACCUGUAGAGGUGUGUUUCAGGGGAAUCUCUCUAAACGAAUGAAUCCCCCUCCUACCUGUAGAGGUGUGUUUCAGGGGAAUCUCUCUAAACGAAUGAAUCCCCCUCCUACCUGUAGAGGUGUGUUUCAGGGGAAUCUCUCUGAACGAAUGAAUCCCCCUCCUACCUGUAGAGAGGUGUGUUUCAGGGGAAUCUCUCUAAACGAAUGAAUCCCCCUCCUACCUGUAGAGAGGUGUGUUUCAGGGGAAUCUCUCUAAACGAAUGAAUCCCCCUCCUACCUGUAGAGGUGUGUUUCAGGGGAAUCUCUCUAAACGAAUGAAUCCCCCUCCUACCUGUAGAGAGGUGUGUUUCAGGGGAAUCUCUCUAAACGAAUGAAUCC